UACGUAGGGUGCAAGCGUUGUCCGGAAUUAUUGGGCGUAAAGAGCUCGUAGGCGGUUUGUCGCGUCUGCUGUGAAAACUCAGGGCUUAACCCUGAGCCUGCAGUGGGUACGGGCAGACUAGAGUGUGGUAGGGGAGAUCGGAAUUCCUGGUGUAGCGGUGGAAUGCGCAGAUAUCAGGAGGAACACCGGUGGCGAAGGCGGGUCUCGUGGGCCGAUGACUGACGCUGGAGGAGCGAAAGCGUGGGGAGCGAACAGG
rnacentral:rRNA from 1 species